GAUGAAGAACGCAGCGAAAUGCGAUAAGUAAUGUGAAUUGCAGAAUUCAGUGAAUCAUCGAAUCUUUGAACGCACCUUGCGCCCUUUGGCCACUCCGAAGGGCAUGCCUGUUUGAGUAUCAUGAACACCUCAACUCUCAUGGCUCGCCAUGAUGAGCUUGGAUUUGGGGGUCUUGCUGGCCUGUGGUCGGCUCCUCUCAAAUGGAUCAGCUUGCCAGUGUUUGGUGGCAUCACAGGUGUGAUAACUAUCUGCGCUUGUGGUUUUCCAUCAGAUAACCUUCAGUGAUGGAGGUUCGCUGGAGCUCAUAAACGUCUCCCCUAAGCGGGGACAGCCCUUUGAAUGUUUGAUCUCAAAUCAGGUAGGACUACCCGCUGAACUUAAGCAUAUCAAUAAGCGGAGGA
rnacentral:misc_RNA from 1 species